GACAUGCCAGCCUGCUUCCUAUGUGUGAA
rnacentral:piRNA from 1 species